rnacentral:snRNA from 1 species
GUGCUCACUUUGGCAGCACGUGUACUAAAAUUGCAACGAUACAGAGAAGGUUAGCAAGGCCCUCACACAAGGAAGACAUGCAAAUUCGUGAAGUGUUCUGUAUUUUU